rnacentral:rRNA from 1 species
GACGUAGGGCGCGAGCGUUGUCCGGAUUUAUUAGGCGUAAAGAGCUCGUAGGCGGCUUGUUGCGUCGACUGUGAAAACCCGCGGCUUAACUGCGGGCUUGCAGUUGAUACGGGCAGGCUAGAGUUCGGUAGGGGAGACUGGAAUUCCUGGUGUAGCGGUGAAAUGCGCAGAUAUCAGGAGGAACACCGGUGGCGAAGGCGGGUCUCUGGGCCGAUACUGACGCUGAGGAGCGAAAGCGUGGGGAGCGAACAGG